rnacentral:rRNA from 1 species
AGAGACCGGCGCACGGGUGCGUAACGCGUAUGCAAUCUACCUUUUACAGAGGGAUAGCCCAGAGAAAUUUGGAUUAAUACCUCAUAGUAUAGCAGUUUCGCAUGAAACCACUAUUAAAGUCACAACGGUAAAAGAUGAGCAUGCGUCCCAUUAGCUAGUUGGUAAGGUAACGGCUUACCAAGGCUACGAUGGGUAGGGGUCCUGAGAGGGAGAUCCCCCACACUGGUACUGAGACACGGACCAGACUCCUACGGGAGGCAGCAGUGAGGAAUAUUGGACAAUGGGCGCAAGCCUGAUCCAGCCAUGCCGCGUGCAGGAUGACGGUCCUAUGGAUUGUAAACUGCUUUUGUACGAGAAGAAACACUCCUAUGUAUAGGAGCUUGACGGUAUCGUAAGAAUAAGGAUCGGCUAACUCCGUGCCAGCAGCCGCGGUAAUACGGAGGAUCCAAGCGUUAUCCGGAAUCAUUGGGUUUAAAGGGUCCGUAGGCGGUUUAGUAAGUCAGUGGUGAAAGCCCAUCGCUCAACGGUGGAACGGCCAUUGAUACUGCUGAACUUGAAUUAUUAGGAAGUAACUAGAAUAUGUAGUGUAGCGGUGAAAUGCUUAGAGAUUACAUGGAAUACCAAUUGCGAAGGCAGGUUACUACUAAUUGAUUGACGCUGAU